CUACGGGAGGCAGCAGUAGGGAAUCUUCGGCAAUGGACGAAAGUCUGACCGAGCAACGCCGCGUGAGUGAAGAAGGUUUUCGGAUCGUAAAACUCUGUUGUUAGAGAAGAACGUUGCAUAGAGUGGAAAAUUAUGCAAGUGACGGUAUCUAACCAGAAAGGGACGGCUAACUACGUGCCAGCAGCCGCGGUAAU
rnacentral:rRNA from 1 species